UACAGAGGUCUCAAGCGUUGUUCGGAUUCAUUGGGCGUAAAGGGUGCGUAGGUGGUGAUGCAAGUCUGGUGUGAAAUCUCGGAGCUCAACUCCGAAAUUGCACCGGAUACUGCGUGACUCGAGGACUGUAGAGGAGAUCGGAAUUCACGGUGUAGCAGUGAAAUGCGUAGAUAUCGUGAGGAAGACCAGUGGCGAAGGCGGAUCUCUGGACAGUUCCUGACGCUGAGGCGCGAAGGCCAGGGGAGCAAACGGG
rnacentral:rRNA from 1 species